CAUUUAACUUGGCUUCAUAUACAUCCCACCAAGAGAAGCAUAAUACCAAGUCACACAACAAACGAGAUGCAACAAGGGGUAAGACAUCAAGGAACCAAACAUGAAGUCAGUCCAUGAGUGCGCAGUUGAGGUAAGGCCUGUGUCUUGUCUUGGUGAGCUUGGUUCUGGAAGAGGAGUCGCUGAGGUAGUAGUCACAUUUUACCAUUGAUAAUGCUUCCAAUAACAGGAGAUCUUAGAAUACUCACGUGGAUGUGCUGAAGGGUUUAGCAUGCAACUAUGGAAUUGGAAAUUUAGAAGAGCUGAAAUGCUCAGCACAACAGAGAAGAAUUCUGAAUCCCCUGAGGUAAUGAGCAGUGGGGAAUAAGAGAGAAAUAAGAUGUAAGAUGGUGCUCUAAGGACGUGACCCCUCCCUCUUAGUGAUUUCUUUUGGAGAGUCGUGAAGAAGCUGAAUUGUUGG